rnacentral:rRNA from 1 species
CUGUAGGGCAUUAGCUUGUUUCGCAGGGGAAAUUCAUCGUUUACUGUGAAAAAAUUAGAGUGUUCAAAGCAGGCUUAUGCCAAUGAAUAUGCUAGCAUGGAAUAAUGAAAUAGGACUUUUGGUACUAUUUUGUUGGUUUGCGCGCCAAAGUAAUGAUUAAUAGGGACAGUUGGGGGUAUUCGUAUUCCAUAGUCAGAGGUGAAAUUCUUGGAUUUUUGGAAGACGAACUACUGCAAAAGCAUUUACCAAGGAUGUUUUCAUUAAUCAAGAACGAAAGUUAGGGGAUCGAAGAUGAUUAGAUACCAUCGUAGUCUUAACCAUAAACUAUGCCAGUUAGGGAUUGGCAGGGUAUCGUUACGUCCCUGUCAGCACCUUAUGAGAAAUCAUUAAACUUUUGGGUUCCGGGGGGAGAUGGUGCAAGCGAC